rnacentral:rRNA from 1 species
UUUUCAUAGAGUUUGAUCCUGGCUCAGGACGAACGUUGGCGGUGCGCCUAAUGCAUGCAAGUCGAACGGGCGAAGGGACUUCGGUCCCCUAGCUAGUGGCAGACGGCUGAGUAACACGUAAAUGAUCUGCCCCGAAGUGAGGGACAACCCCGAGAAAUCGGGCCUAAUACCUCGUAAGUUCAUUAGACUACGGUUUAGUGAAGAAAGGUUUCGGCCACUUUGGGAGGAGUUUGCGGCCUAUCAGGUAGUUGGUGGGGUAAUAGCCUACCAAGCCGAAGACGGGUAACCGGUGUGAGAGCACGAUCGGUCAGAGGGGGACUGAGACACGGCCCCCACUCCUACGGGAGGCAGCAGCAGGGAAUCUUGCACAAUGGACGAAAGUCUGAUGCAGCGACACCGCGUGAGGGAAGAAGGCCUUCGGGUUGUAAACCUCUUUUAUCAGGGAAGAGUAAGGACUGGACCUGACGAAUAAGGCUCGGCUAACUACGUGCCAGCAGCCGCGGUAAUACGUAGGAGUCAAACGUUGUCCGGAUUUACUGGGCGUAAAGAGCGCGUAGGCGGUUUGUUAAGUCUCAUGUGAAAUCUCCCGGCUCAACUGGGAGGGGUCAUGGGAAACUGGCAGGCUUGAGGGUAGCAGAGGAAAGCGGAAUUCCCGGAGUAGUGGUGAAAUGC